UGGGGAAUUUUGGACAAUGGGGGCAACCCUGAUCCAGCAAUGCCGCGUGUGUGAAGAAGGCCUUCGGGUUGUAAAGCUCUUUUACCCGGGAAGAUAAUGACUGUACCGGGAGAAUAAGCCCCGGCUAACUCCGUGCCAGCAGCCGCGGUAAUACGGAGGGGGCUAGCGUUGUUCGGAAUUACUGGGCGUAAAGCGCGCGUAGGCGGCUUUGUAAGUUAGAGGUGAAAGCCCGGGGCUCAACCCCGGAAAUGCCUUUAAGACUGCAUCGCUUGAAUCCAGGAGAGGUGAGUGGAAUUCCGAGUGUAGAGGUGAAAUUCGUAGAUAUUCGGAAGAACACCAGUGGCGAAGGCGGCUCACUGGCCUGGUAUUGACGCUGAGGUGCGAAAGCGUGGGGAGCAAACA
rnacentral:rRNA from 1 species